UCCCUGUGGGGAGCCCAAUGUGGGACUCGAUCCCGGGUCUCCAGGAUCACGCCCUGGGCUGAAGGCAGAUGCUAAACCGCUGAGCCACCCAGGGAUCCCCAACUCUCUAUAUCCCUUAAUCAUUUCAGUUCCUGGUGUCCUAUUAGCAAGACACCCAGAGCUCCUUCUUGGGUCCUCCCUCCCCCCGAAUUAUCCAAGGACCCCACAGUCAUCCUCAGCAGGUGGAGCUGCCACUGGCUCCCCAGCGAACGUCCCUGCUGUUAUGGCAUCUUGCCACCGCAUGGGGUGGCUGUUGGAGACGGCGCCAGAACAGUCCUGCAGACCUUUGCCCAUUGGGCAAGGACGUCUGAGCUGGUUAAGCCCUUGCCUGGGGCCUGGGGUCACCCAUACUCGAGACUUGAGUUCAUGGCUCUCGGGGGUCACCCUUUCAACACUUAGCAGAGUGACGUGCCCCACCCUGCACCCUACACACACCCUAGGUCCCGACAUCUAGCACCUUGCUGACCCUGCCCAGAGCCCCCUGGGAGGACAGGAUGGCAGCACAGCCCCUACUUUGAUGGAGGGGGACCUGAGGCCCCCAGAGGGUAAUUUUUCCAAAGUCACUUGGCCAGUUAGCCCCACUUCAAGCUGAAACCCAAGGUCUGGACUCCCCUUUCACUAGAAGCUCCCAGUGAAAGUCCUCUUCCGGCCCCCCGAACCAGAGCACCCUCACCACCCCCCAGUCGUGACACCAAAGAAUAUCUGCAGAUUGCCCGGUGUCCCUUGGGGAGCAGAAUCAGCCUCAGCGGAGAACCUCUGCUCCUAGACUCCAGCAGUGGCCUCUCCUGACCUUGGGAGCCGGGCCCUGUCCUGGUGGCCCCGGGGGCCCUGCUGACCUCAGCCACUCUGUCUUCCAGCCCGGGCACGCGCUGUCCCCUCCGUCUCCGGUCACCCUCAAAUCUCCGGUCCCGUUCGAGACCCUUCACACCCUGGGGGCCAGCGGAGAGCACCCCUGACCACGCCGCUCGAGUGACCCCCGCCCAUCAGCCUCUCCAUCCUUCUCCCUGAUUUAUCAACCUCUUUGCCUUUUCUUAAAUCCCUCUGUUUCUGUUUUGUCGUUUACGGAUGAGCUUAUUUCUGCCUCGGCUCCGUGGGGCAGGGGCCUGCAUGUCCCGUUCGCCGCGAGCGGCCCCGGCUGCACAGCAGACAUCAGGAAACCCGAGUUUCAUGACUGAAUGAAUGAGCUGGGUGGACUUCUCUCGGCUUCUAGAAAUGGAUCCUGUGUGUCCCCAGGGCUGCGAAGCAGCAGACCUCAGCCCGCGGUCAGAUGGAAAAUCCCGCAUCAGAGCGCCACGCACAGCACCAGGCGGCGCGCGCAGGACGAUGCAUUUUAAAAGAUUUCACCACUUUUAAAAAUGUGGAAACCCUCAGAUUAGAAAGUAUCUAUUCUUUUACUACCAUCCGGAGCCCAGGGCCCAGCAAGGGGAGACAGAAAGGAGACCUGCCUGCCCUGUGCCCACACGACGGGACCCACACGACACGGCCCCGACCCUGGCAUGGGGCUGCCACUUGGCUACUUUCACAGGAAAGCGGCACCCAGUGUUUUUUGCCUCCUGCAGAAGGAGCCCGGGAGCCUUGCAGGAGCCUGAAACCAGGGCACCGCUGUGUCACAGCCCGUCAUUUCCUGGCCAGUGCGCGGUGGCUCUGCGGCCCCUCCUGGAUCCCCUGCAAAGCUGUGGCCACGCAGACCUUCUCCCUUCAUCUUUCUCUGGCUCCCGGUCACCGCCAGCCCUUCCCACAAGCUGCUUCUUGCGUCUGGAGGAUCUUUGCUUUCACUGACGCCAGUCUGGCUUUGGGUCUCUGCCCUAAUGCUCUACGUGUAACUAAGCAACAUGCGUCUGUGGCACCACGUUCAAACAAGGUGUAAAGUAAGAAGAAAAGUUCAUAUUCGCCAGACACAGCGCCUCAGCCUGCCCUGAAUUCCCGGAAUGCACCUUUCAUCAGACCCCCUGACCUCCCAGGGUCAUGCCUGCAGGUUGGGGGAGGAGUUUGCCCCCCCACCCGUGUCCACCCACGGGCCACAGAGCUAGGGGCUCGGGGUGGGGGGUGAGUGUGGGCGGGGGCCUGGGAGGGCCGAGCCCGUCCGCAGUGUUGUUAAACGGCCAGCCACCUCCCUCCCUGUGCGUCCUGGGGACACCGCCCCCCAUGGCAACCCACUCCCUGUUGAGGGCUGGUGCUGCCCCCGGUCACGGCCUCUACCCUGUGACCUUGGGUACAGACAUCGAGAAGGACGGGGUGACUCUCCAACACGUCUUCCAAAACAGAAGCGACAGAGCCACUGCCAUCCUGGUUUCCGAGGAGCUGCUUGGUGAGCGGCGGACACCCCCCAACCCCCCAGCGCCAGCACCCACCCUGCCCUCUGUGCCCGCAGCCCCGGCGGCCCCAGCCCCAGCAACCAGCACACAACUCGCUGUCUGGACGCUUCGUGGGAAUGGGGCGCACAGGACGCCCCCAUGGCGGGCUUCUUUCAUUUAGGUGCGUCCUCGAGGUCCGUCUGCGUUGUGGCGUCUAUCAGAAGUUCAUUCCUUGUUAUGGCCAAAUAAUAAUAUACCUGUUGUGCGGCU